UGGGGAAUUUUGGACAAUGGGCGAAAGCCUGAUCCAGCAAUGCCGCGUGUGUGAAGAAGGCCUUCGGGUUGUAAAGCACUUUUGUCCGGAAAGAAAUCCUUGGCUCUAAUACAGUCGGGGGAUGACGGUACCGGAAGAAUAAGCACCGGCUAACUACGUGCCAGCAGCCGCGGUAAUACGUAGGGUGCAAGCGUUAAUCGGAAUUACUGGGCGUAAAGCGUGCGCAGGCGGUUUGCUAAGACCGAUGUGAAAUCCCCGGGCUCAACCUGGGAACUGCAUUGGUGACUGGCAGGCUAGAGUAUGGCAGAGGGGGUAGAAUUCCACGUGUAGCAGUGAAAUGCGUAGAGAUGUGGAGGAAUACCGAUGGCGAAGGCAGCCCCCUGGGCCAAAUACUGACGCUCAUGCACGAAAGCGUGGGGAGCAAACAGGAUUAGAUAUCCUGGUAGUCCACGCCCUAAACGAUGUCAACUAGUUGUUGGGGAUUCAUUUCCUUAGUAACGUAGCUAACGCGUGAAGUUGACCGCCUGGGGAGUACGGUCGCAAGGUUAAAACUCAAAUGAAUUGAC
rnacentral:rRNA from 1 species